AGGGUAAUAGUUAAUUCAUAACAAUUAAUUUGCAAUUAAAAAUAAUUGAUCCUCAAUUUACCUUA
rnacentral:tRNA from 1 species